rnacentral:rRNA from 1 species
UGGUGGAGUGAUUUGUCUGGUUAAUUCCGUUAACGAACGAGACCUCGACCUGCUAAAUAGUUCUAGUCAUCUCUGAUGGCUGGAUACUUCUUAGAGGGACUAUCGGUGGUUAGCCGAUGGAAGUUCGAGGCAAUAACA